rnacentral:rRNA from 1 species
GGUUAAGCGACUAAGCGUACACGGUGGAUGCCCUGGCAGUCAGAGGCGAUGAAGGACGUGCUAAUCUGCGAUAAGCGUCGGUAAGGUGAUAUGAACCGUUAUAACCGGCGAUUUCCGAAUGGGGAAACCCAGUGUGUUUCGACACACUAUCAUUAACUGAAUCCAUAGGUUAAUGAGGCGAACCGGGGGAACUGAAACAUCUAAGUACCCCGAGGAAAAGAAAUCAACCGAGAUUCCCCCAGUAGCGGCGAGCGAACGGGGAGGAGCCCAGAGCCUGAAUCAGUGUGUGUGUUAGUGGAAGCGUCUGGAAAGGCGCGCGAUACAGGGUGACAGCCCCGUACACAAAAAUGCACAUACUGUGAGCUCGAUGAGUAGGGCGGGACACGUGGUAUCCUGUCUGAAUAUGGGGGGACCAUCCUCCAAGGCUAAAUACUCCUGACUGACCGAUAGUGAACCAGUACCGUGAGGGAAAGGCGAAAAGAACCCCGGCGAGGGGAGUGAAAAAGAACCUGAAACCGUGUACGUACAAGCAGUGGGAGCACGCUUAGGCGUGUGACUGCGUACCUUUUGUAUAAUGGGUCAGCGACUUAUAUUCUGUAGCAAGGUUAACCGAAUAGGGGAGCCGAAGGGAAACCGAGUCUUAACUGGGCGUUAAGUUGCAGGGUAUAGACCCGAAACCCGGUGAUCUAGCCAUGGGCAGGUUGAAGGUUGGGUAACACUAACUGGAGGACCGAACCGACUAAUGUUGAAAAAUUAGCGGAUGACUUGUGGCUGGGGGUGAAAGGCCAAUCAAACCGGGAGAUAGCUGGUUCUCCCCGAAAGCUAUUUAGGUAGCGCCUCGUGAAUUCAUCUCCGGGGGUAGAGCACUGUUUCGGCAAGGGGGUCAUCCCGACUUACCAACCCGAUGCAAACUGCGAAUACCGGAGAAUGUUAUCACGGGAGACACACGGCGGGUGCUAACGUCCGUCGUGAAGAGGGAAACAACCCAGACCGCCAGCUAAGGUCCCAAAGUCAUGGUUAAGUGGGAAACGAUGUGGGAAGGCCCAGACAGCCAGGAUGUUGGCUUAGAAGCAGCCAUCAUUUAAAGAAAGCGUAAUAGCUCACUGGUCGAGUCGGCCUGCGCGGAAGAUGUAACGGGGCUAAACCAUGCACCGAAGCUGCGGCAGCGACGCUUAUGCGUUGUUGGGUAGGGGAGCGUUCUGUAAGCCUGCGAAGGUGUGCUGUGAGGCAUGCUGGAGGUAUCAGAAGUGCGAAUGCUGACAUAAGUAACGAUAAAGCGGGUGAAAAGCCCGCUCGCCGGAAGACCAAGGGUUCCUGUCCAACGUUAAUCGGGGCAGGGUGAGUCGACCCCUAAGGCGAGGCCGAAAGGCGUAGUCGAUGGGAAACAGGUUAAUAUUCCUGUACUUGGUGUUACUGCGAAGGGGGGACGGAGAAGGCUAUGUUGGCCGGGCGACGGUUGUCCCGGUUUAAGCGUGUAGGCUGGUUUUCCAGGCAAAUCCGGAAAACUAAGGCUGAGGCGUGAUGACGAGGCACUACGGUGCUGAAGCAACAAAUGCCCUGCUUCCAGGAAAAGCCUCUAAGCAUCAGGUAACAUCAAAUCGUACCCCAAACCGACACAGGUGGUCAGGUAGAGAAUACCAAGGCGCUUGAGAGAACUCGGGUGAAGGAACUAGGCAAAAUGGUGCCGUAACUUCGGGAGAAGGCACGCUGAUAUGUAGGUGAAGUCCCUCGCGGAUGGAGCUGAAAUCAGUCGAAGAUACCAGCUGGCUGCAACUGUUUAUUAAAAACACAGCACUGUGCAAACACGAAAGUGGACGUAUACGGUGUGACGCCUGCCCGGUGCCGGAAGGUUAAUUGAUGGGGUUAGCGCAAGCGAAGCUCUUGAUCGAAGCCCCGGUAAACGGCGGCCGUAACUAUAACGGUCCUAAGGUAGCGAAAUUCCUUGUCGGGUAAGUUCCGACCUGCACGAAUGGCGUAAUGAUGGCCAGGCUGUCUCCACCCGAGACUCAGUGAAAUUGAACUCGCUGUGAAGAUGCAGUGUACCCGCGGCAAGACGGAAAGACCCCGUGAACCUUUACUAUAGCUUGACACUGAACAUUGAGCCUUGAUGUGUAGGAUAGGUGGGAGGCUUUGAAGUGUGGACGCCAGUCUGCAUGGAGCCGACCUUGAAAUACCACCCUUUAAUGUUUGAUGUUCUAACGUUGACCCGUAAUCCGGGUUGCGGACAGUGUCUGGUGGGUAGUUUGACUGGGGCGGUCUCCUCCUAAAGAGUAACGGAGGAGCACGAAGGUUGGCUAAUCCUGGUCGGACAUCAGGAGGUUAGUGCAAUGGCAUAAGCCAGCUUGACUGCGAGCGUGACGGCGCGAGCAGGUGCGAAAGCAGGUCAUAGUGAUCCGGUGGUUCUGAAUGGAAGGGCCAUCGCUCAACGGAUAAAAGGUACUCCGGGGAUAACAGGCUGAUACCGCCCAAGAGUUCAUAUCGACGGCGGUGUUUGGCACCUCGAUGUCGGCUCAUCACAUCCUGGGGCUGAAGUAGGUCCCAAGGGUAUGGCUGUUCGCCAUUUAAAGUGGUACGCGAGCUGGGUUUAGAACGUCGUGAGACAGUUCGGUCCCUAUCUGCCGUGGGCGCUGGAGAAUUGAGGGGGGCUGCUCCUAGUACGAGAGGACCGGAGUGGACGCAUCACUGGUGUUCGGGUUGUCAUGCCAAUGGCACUGCCCGGUAGCUAAAUGCGGAAGAGAUAAGUGCUGAAAGCAUCUAAGCACGAAACUUGCCCCGAGAUGAGUUCUCCCUGACUCCUUGAGAGUCCUGAAGGAACGUUGAAGACGACGACGUUGAUAGGCCGGGUGUGUAAGCGCAGCGAUGCGUUGAGCUAACCGGUACUAAUGAACCGUGAGGCUUAACCUU